CGUCGAGUGGCGGACGGGUGAGUAAUACUUAGGAAUCUGCCCAUUAGUGGGGGACAACUCGGGGAAACUCGAGCUAAUACCGCAUACGCCCUACGGGGGAAAGCGGAGGACCUUUCGGGGCUUCGCGCUAAUGGAUGAGCCUAAGUCGGAUUAGCUUGUUGGUGAGGUAAAGGCUCACCAAGGCGACGAUCCGUAGCUGGUCUGGAGAGGACGAGUCACGCCACACUGGGACCGAGACACGGCCCAG
rnacentral:rRNA from 1 species